AUUCAAUGUAAAAUUCAGAUGAAGAAGCCAGCUCAACUUGCUCGCACGAGGUUGUCGUUUCAUCCCGUCUCUGAACCAGUCAAUGCUUUUGAUUGUGAGUUUUUUCGUUUACGAGAUCUCUGUUAUCUUACAAGAAGUUACCAAAUAGCAACUUCCAGUUUUGUAAUUACUUCUGAAAACCAUCAUGACCAGAGUGAACUAGCUGAGAUGGAGUAAACAUUGACAAGCAUUAUACGACUGACAGACCGCAACGGUUGGAGUUAAAAAUCAUCAUUUGUGUUCUACUGAAGAAACAAAGUCACCUACAUCUUGGAUGCCCUGGGGGCGGACCGUUAAAGAACGUGACGCACACGUCUCCCGGACAUCCCGUAGAAUUCAACCAACCAGAUGACGACUUCGAAAAUCCUGAAGUGUUUCCAGUUAAGUGUGCCAUAUGCAUCAGACAUUCAGCCAACGGCCCGUGGGCGUGACGUCUGAGUCUGAGACUAAGCUAAGGACCAUGCCAAUGUGUGGAUCUUGUAUUAGAGCAGUUAAAAUUUGGUGCUUUGAGUACAAUUCUCUCAUACUGAUCACUGGAUGUUCAACAUGGCACCUCAUGGCAAAGAACUCUCUGAGGAUUUGAGAAUUAGAAUUGUUGCUCUCUAAAAGAUGGCCUAGGCUAUAAGAAGAUCGAUAACACCAUGAAACUGAGUUACAGCACAGUGGCCAGGGUCAUAGAGAGAGGUUUUCCAAGACGGGUUCCACUCGGAACAGGCCAAAGAAGUUGAGAUGCUGUGCGUCAGGUGCAGAAGCUGGCUUCAAAAAACAGAUGCAUGAGUGCUGCCAGCAUUGCUUUAGAGGUUGCAGAAGCGGAAGGUCAGCUUGUCAGUGCUCAGACCAUACGCCGCACACUGCAACAAGUCGGUUUGGAUGGCCGUCGUCCCAGAAGGAAGCCCGCAAACAAUUUGCUGAAGACAACCUGUCCAACAGCAUGAAUUACUGGAACCAUGUCCUGUGGUCUGAUGAGACUAAGAUAAACUUGUUUGGCUCAGAUGGUGUCCAGCAUGUGUGGCGACGCCCUGGUGAGGACUACCAAGAAAAUUGUGUCUUGCCUACAGUCAAGCAUGGUGGUGGUAGCAUCAUGGUCUUGGGCUGCAUGAUUGCUGCUGGUACUGGGGAGCUCUGCUUCAUUGAGGGGAAACUUGAAUUCCAACAUGUACUGUGACAUUCUGAAGCAGAACAUGAUGCCCUCCUUUCAGAAACUGGGCUGAACGGCAUGAUAAUGACCCCAAACACACCGCCAAGAUGACAACUGCCUUGCUGAGGAAGCUGAUGGUGAAGGUGAUGGAGUGGCCAAGUAUGUCUCCAGACCUGAACCCUAUUGAGCACCUGUGGGGCGUCCUCAAGCGGAAGGUGGAGAAGCGUGUCUACUCCAUGUGUCUACCAUGUGUCUACUCAUUUUUGUGAGAUACUCUAUCUAUUUAUCUAUCUAUCUAUCAUCUAAUGCAUAAAUAUCACUGUCCAUCAAUACUAUAUUGGUUACAUAUAUCUUAUAAACAAAUAACAUAAUCAUGUAUUAAGUCUUAUUGCUAAAUCCAAUCUUUUGAUAUAAUAUUUUAGAAUUCUCAGUGCAGAAAUUCAUUUUGGAUUUAAUUAGGAACUAAAUCACUGGAAAGAAAAAUGAUCAGUGUAUUUUCAAAGCAGUAACUUCUCUACAUUUAUGUGAAGAUACUAAUCCCCAGUAUUAUGGUAAUCCUCUGACUGCAUUAAUGGUUUUAGAGGCAUUAUUCAAUUAUAGCCUUCACUCAUUAUAGCCACCAUAAAAUUGCUUUCAGAGCAGCUAAAACAACUGUGCACUGUCUCUAAUGCAGAAUGAAGAUGAACAAUGGUGUACAAUAAGCAGAGGGGCUUUUUGUACACUAUGAAUACACUGCAUUUUGGCUGAUAAAUGGUUUAAUAGUAGCAUCAGUGGCAAAUUGAAACCUUUUACAGGGUGGGGCACCACACUUCAACAUGAAUAUUGGUUCAGUUUAUUAUCAUUUGUUCUGAGAAUCAUAGACAUGACCUUUUUCUUAUUAUAAAUCCCAAAGACCCGCAUAAGAGUUUUAGCACUUAAUCCCAGAUUCCAGCUAUACUCUGUCUGAUGAGAACUUUGAAAAUAGAAUCAGUCUGACCAGGGGAGCCAUUUAACCUUUAGGUUAAUCAUCACCUAACAUGAAGCACCAUGGGAGAGAAAAUGCAUACAUUAUACAACUCAUGUUCAUAUAUGGGGUCGCACAGCACCUGAGCUUUUUUGGAGGACUAUAGUGACUAAUAAGCUGCAUAUACUAUACAAUCAUGAGAAUCAAGCAAUUCUCUGCAUUUCUUGUAGUAUUGUUUCUAAAGCCUGGCAAAUACCGAUCGAUUUAUAAGAUCAUCAUUUUGUCUUUUUUUGCAUGUUUAUUACAUUUUUCAUAUAAAUAAUUAAGGGAAAAUUGUCUUACAGAACUCUUAAGUCAUUUGGUAAAGUAAUAAUGGUUGAAUUUACUAUCUGUAUGACACUUAUAUAAUUGGCCUAGAGAGUAAAAUCAGUAAGUGCUCUGUAAAAGGCUUGUUUGAUCAUGGUUAUUACUUUAACAUCAGGACAGCUUCUCAGAAGAACGUCUAAUGAAUAACUGUAACAUGAAGACCUGACGGUUCGGGAAAUGUGGGUUGAAGAUGAAUAUUGCCUGAGCUUGUUCUUAAUUACUGAGUAGAGACUAAUACAAUUAAGUAUCCAGAGGGCAGUGUUCCACAUAAAUUACCAUUAGAUAUAACGCUUAGUCAAACACCACUAGGAAAAUUAGGUAAAAUGCCCUGUUAUAGAGAAAAAUAUACCAGUACAAUGGGUUUCAUUAUUACAGUGUUCUCAUUUGGUUUAAAAACAUUCAAGGCCUGGUGACUGCAGUAUUUUUGAAUAUUAAUAUAUUCUUCACUUCAAUAUGGGUAUCAUUGAAAAUUAGGAUAACUUGCAGUUCAGACUGAUUUUGAUUCAUUAACUGCUCUGGGGUGUGUUUUCCGUACAAAGACAUAAUUCACUGCUUAACCAUAGUACAAUUCAUCGUUAGAGAAAUUAACUAGUCACGAAAGUUUCCCACAAUUGUAGUAACUUUGUUGCACAUUUGUCAUUCAAACCACUUUGAUUCAACAAUAUAGCUGUUGUUAAUGACAUCUCACAGGUGGUGGAGUAAUAACUUCUGCCAAUUAAUCCAUUCAAGAUAAAGUGGAUGUCAGAUUGUUGUAACACUUUAUUUUAAGGUGAAUUAGUUACACAAUACUACAUGUACUUACUAUAGUAAUAACAGUAAAUUAUGCAUAAUUACAAGUAACUUACCCUAAACCAAACCCUAAUCGUAACUCUAUAGUACAUGUAAAUAAUUUGAUUAAGCACAAUGUAAUUAUGUCACUUUAAAAUAAAGUGUAACCCAGAUUAUUUCUGUAAAGGGACAUAACAUCUGAGGAUGCCAUCUGAGGUUGCUAUGUAUGUCACUACUUUUGUCUCCACUGUUUUGUUUUAUUUACUGAUAUUUGACUCAAUUGCCGGUUCCCCCUGGGAUAUUAGAGCAUGUAUAAAUAUGCGCACUCUUCAAAAACAGUACUUUCAUUCUCUUGACAAACUUAAAGACAUAGAAUGAAAUUUGUAUAUAUGUGAAAUGACAAAUAUAGAUUGUAUGGCAUGUUAGCCUUCUUUAUAUCUAUUUAAGUCCGCAUGUUAUCUAACAAGAAACCAUGCUUCUAACUACAGGUCGAGAGCUGUAGUUCCAACCACACAAUUUUGCAAUGCUAUUUGCGAAUGUUUGUUUGGGUUGGUGUUUCCUGAAACCAUAGUUCAAUCUCAUGGCAAUUCGUACGUAUUUUAUGAGGUGGCUACUUCGUACGAAUUCAUAUGACCUUUUUGUACGAACUAGUAAGUUUUUUGCUAAAUCGUACGUAUUUUACGAGUUGCAAAAUUUGUAUGAAUUUGUACAAAUGACGUACUCCUAACCCCGCCCCUAAACCUAUACCCGUCACUGGGGUUUAGACAAAUCGUAUGAAUUCGUACGAGUGAGGUCAUACAAGUGAGGUCGUACAAAUUCGUACGAAUUAGCCACCUUGUAAAAUACAUACGAAUUGGCCGUGAGAUAGCGUUGGAGACACUGACUCAUUUAACUUUCAGAACUUUCAACCAUAGUUUGCUAAAAAUGCUUUUCACAAAUGCACCCCAGAUCUAUUCGGUUCAGCGAAGGAUUUGUCCGAUUUCAAAACGUCUUUUUGAAUUAUUCAUGAAAUGAAUCAACUCAAACGAGUUAAUAAUCCGGGAAUCAGACUGGUCACGCUGUACGUUUUUUAUUCACUAAAAGUAACCAGCUCGUAGGAGCCAGCUGUUUGUGAAUAGGACUACACUGGUCACAUUGUAAAUUGUUUUAGCAUGCAGCGCGCUGUCACGGGUGGUUGCAGGUAAACAGACGAAGAUGAAGAAGAAGGUUUCAACACAAAGCUUUAAAAACAAUAAUCCAAAAGAUAGGUGAACACAAUGGUAAUGUCAAACUUGAUAGAGCAUUGAUAGACAUUUUAGCUAGAGUUACGUAUUUCCAGUGAGCAUGUCAGAUGUCACUUGCAUCGAUGCUCCCAGAUAAAUUUCAUACAUUCUGUAAGGGAAAUGGGUCAAUUUAGCUCACAGGGAAUUAAUUAAUUUUAUUUGGAAUUUUUAAAGAGUCACAUAUUUUAUGGCCAAACAAAUGUAUCGUCCAGCGCUCAAUUAAACGGGUCGUAACUAUUAGCUCUGUAGCGGAUAUUAAAAGCACAUUUUAUUGAGAUGUGAACAGAUAUGUACUGGCUGCACAUCAUUGAAAACACUAAAGGUACUCAUUAAGUUUAUCCAUAAGUGGAAAUGAGUUAUUUUUGCACUUUUUUAGAGCGAUUUCUCUUCCGGUUUGAAAAGCAAAGUUGGAGCAAUGUGACGGCUUACCGGCAAG